AUCAUAAACCCUUCAUGUAAAAGAAUAAUCAUGUGUUUCUAAUUUUUUACAAAUCACAGAUGAAGAAAAUGUCAGAGAUUUGCCUCAACUCAGUGAAUCUCUCUCUUUCCCCAGAUGGAGAAUUUUGGUGGGUCAAGAGCCCCAAACUCACAAAAAAAUAACUGGAUCUAAAACAUGAGAGCAUAUUGAGCACCUACUCUUCAUGAGCACCUACUCUUUACUCAAGAUUCAACCUGCCGCCUGGAGUGGACCAGCUGCCAUCUUGAAUCAUGAAGCUGGGACCUUGGACAGCAGAGCAAGAAGACAGAAGAGACCUGGAUCUCUGGUUAUGGAGAACCAGACAGUCCUGGAUCUUAUACGUGGAUACAUAUAUACAUUAACUUUUGUACUUUUAAAGACACUGUGAUUUAGGUUUUUUUCCUGGUAUUUAUAAACUGAAUCUAAGCAUGCAGAGGAGAAUCUAAGAUGCAGAGGAGAAGGUUGUCUUUUCCCCAAGUUUGUUUAGAAAAAUUGAGGACUGUUAAGAAGCUAUAGGUUAGUCUAAUAUAACUCUUGUGGACUUUGGGCAAAUCAUUAGAUCAAUGAAAUAACCAGCAAGCGUAGAAAGAGUCAGCCAGAACUUACUUCUAGCCCAGAAGCUUGCAAUCUGGACUGCCACACUAUACUCAAACAGCUCCUUUCUUCCUUUCCCUUUCUCUCUCUCUCCCUCCCUCCCUGCCUCCCUCCCUUCCCUCUCUCCCUCCCUCCCUUCCCCUC
rnacentral:lncRNA from 1 species